rnacentral:rRNA from 1 species
UACGUAGGGUGCAAGCGUUAAUCGGAAUUACUGGGCGUAAAGCGUGCGCAGGCGGCUUUGCAAGACAGAUGUGAAAUCCCCGGGCUUAACCUGGGAAUGGCAAUGGAAACUGGCGAGCUAGAGUACGGUAGAGGAGAGUGGAAUUCCCGGUGUAGCAGUGAAAUGCGUAGAGAUCGGGAGGAACAUCAGUUGCGAAGGCGGCUCUCUGGACCAGUACUGACGCUGAGGCACGAAAGCGUGGGGAGCAAACAGG